UUGAUUAAAUAUUUAUAGGAUAGAGAUGGGCUCGCGUGACAUUAGCUAGUUGGUAGGGUAACGGCUUACCAAGGCGACGAUGUCUAGGGGCUCUGAGAGGAGAAUCCCCCACACUGGUACUGAGACACGGACCAGACUCCUACGGGAGGCAGCAGUAAGGAAUAUUGGUCAAUGGGCGGAAGCCUGAACCAGCCAUGCCGCGUGCAGGAUGACUGCCCUAUGGGUUGUAAACUGCUUUUGUCCAGGAAUAAACCUAAAUACGUGUAUUUAGCUGAAUGUACUGGAAGAAUAAGGAUCGGCUAACUCCGUGCCAGCAGCCGCGGUAAUACGGAGGAUCCGAGCGUUAUCCGGAUUUAUUGGGUUUAAAGGGUGCGUAGGCGGCCUAUUAAGUCAGGGGUGAAAUACGGUGGCUCAACCAUCGCAGUGCCUUUGAUACUGAUGGGCUUGAAUCCAUUUGAAGUGGGCGGAAUAAGACAAGUAGCGGUGAAAUGCAUAGAUAUGUCUUAGAACUCCGAUUGCGAAGGCAGCUCACUAAGCUGGUAUUGACGCUGAUGCACGAAAGCGUGGGGAUCGAACAGGAUUAGAUACCCUGGUAGUCCACGCCCUAAACGAUGAUAACUCGAUGUUGGCGAUAGACAGCCAGCGUCCCAGCG
rnacentral:rRNA from 1 species